CCGUAGCCAGAGAUCGGGAUAACACCUGGAAACAGAUGCUAAUACCGGAUAACAACAGAUGAUGCCUAUCAACUGUUUAAAAGAUGGUUCUGCUAUCACUCUUGGAUGGACCUGCGGUGCAUUAGCUAGUUGGUAGGGUAACGGCCUACCAAGGCGAUGAUGCAUAGCCGAGUUGAGAGACUGAUCGGCCACAUUGGGACUGAGACACGGCCCAAACUCCUACGGGAGGCAGCAGCC
rnacentral:rRNA from 1 species